UAUAUCAGAGAGUUUGAUCCUGGCUCAGGAUGAACGCUGGCGGCGUGCUUAACACAUGCAAGUCGAGCGAAGCGCUUACGACAGAACCUUCGGGGGAAGAUGUAAGGGACUGAGCGGCGGACGGGUGAGUAACGCGUGGGUAACCUGCCUCAUACAGGGGGAUAACAGUUGGAAACGGCUGCUAAUACCGCAUAAGCGCAC
rnacentral:rRNA from 1 species